GGUAGAGUGGCCGAGUGACAGGCGGCGGCUUGUAGCACCGUGUACAGAGGUUUAAGUCCUUUUUCUAUCA
rnacentral:tRNA from 1 species